UACGGAGGGUGCGAGCGUUAAUCGGAAUUACUGGGCGUAAAGAGUGCGUAGGUGGUUGAAUAAGUUAUCUGUGAAAUCCCUGGGCUUAACCUGGGCAGGUCAGAUAAUACUGUUUGACUCGAGUAUGGGAGAGGGUAGUGGAAUUUCCGGUGUAGCGGUGAAAUGCGUAGAGAUCGGAAGGAACACCAGUGGCGAAGGCGGCUACCUGGCCUAAUACUGACACUGAGGCACGAAAGCGUGGGGAGCAAACAGG
rnacentral:rRNA from 1 species